UACGUAGGGAGCGAGCGUUGUCCGGAAUUACUGGGCGUAAAGGGCGCGUAGGCGGAAUCUUAAGUCAGGUGUGAAAACGUAGGGCUUAACCUUACGACUGCACUUGAAACUGGGAUUCUUGAGGACAGGAGAGGAAAGUGGAAUUCCUAGUGUAGCGGUGAAAUGCGUAGAUAUUAGGAGGAACACCAGUGGCGAAGGCGACUUUCUGGACUGUAACUGACGCUGAGGCGCGAAAGCGUGGGGAGCGAACGGG
rnacentral:rRNA from 1 species